UUCUCCUCCUCCUCCUCCUCCUCCUCCUCCUUACUGUCUCUGAGAGAACCAGAUGGGCAGGAAGCUAGGCUUGAGCUCUCUCUUGUUCAAGCUCAGGGACACACCGAAGCCUUCUUGCUACCCGUCUUCUUCUCCUUCUUCUUCUUCUUGGUCGUGGCCCUCAUGUAAGCAACCGAAGACCAGCUCCUUCCGGGACGUCGACGGCGACGCCAUCUACAAGACCGUCAACUCGGUGUACUUCGACUCCAACGAGUCAUGCUUCUCCCGUUCAUCGGAAGAGCAUGAGAGCUUCUCCACGGUGUCGGAGGACUCGGGCGGUGGCUCGCUGGAGACGGUCGUGCGCGGGGUGCGGUCGGACCGGCUCUUCUUCGACCCCGGCGGGGCGAGCUCGAUACUGGAGGAGGCGAGGGCCAGCGAGCCGCCGUUCGAGGGCAGCGUCGCGUUAGCCGUGGAGUCGGACGACCCCCACCGCGACUUCCGGCGGUCGAUGGAGGAGAUGGUGACGGCGCACGGGCUGAGGGACUGGGAGCGACUCGAGGAGCUGCUGGGUUGGUAUCUGCGGGUCAACGGGAAGACGACCCAUGGGUUCAUAGUUGGAGCCUUUGUGGAUUUGCUUGUAGGCCUCGCUUCUUCUUCUUCUUCUUCUCCUCCACCUCCUCCUCCUCCUCCUCCAUCUUCUGCAUCAUCUUCCAACUCCUUUAAGAUCGAGGAACUCAAAGAGGAGGACGCCAGUGGAUCAAGUUAGCUUCCUUUAAUCCAACAAAAACAUAUAUAUAUAUAUAUAUAUAUAUAUAUAUAUAUAUAUAUAUAUAUAUAUAUAUAUAUAUAUAUAUAUAUAUAUAUAUAAAAUUUAUUUGAAGAGUCGUUAGACGAGCACCUUGUGUUCAUGGCUUCCAACCUCGUUCUCUGAUGGAAGAAGCCAGCGGUGCGUUGUCUCCUUGUAGAGUCUGCCGGAAGGGCCAUCACAGUGGUUCUCUCAAUCAUAGACAUCGGCAUGUCACCAGAUGCUUCUAUCAGAGCAGGACAAGUGCUGCCAUGGAUUAAAUGAACAACACUGCUGCUGCAGCAGAUCAUGACAACUGCUUGCACUGCUUCUGGUUGAUGAUUCCCAUCAGGUUAUGGCCAGCGGGGACAGAUGUGAAAGUUAUUGGGCUAACGUCCUUCUCCAGUAGGAGUUCGGGAGAACUGUAGAUGUUGGAUGGAUAGACGAUAUCAGUUGUACAUUUAACAUGUCCUCCGAAGAGAAAAAGGAGUGCACAGUGGGUAGUGAUUGCCCCCUUUCUCGAGGAAGGUCGCUUACCAUUGCUUGUAAGUUUUCAUUUCAUGGUGGUAGACUUCUUGCAGGGUCGAACAAGUUGUUUCCCUGAUUCAACAUCAUACCGAAAUCUUGAAACGAAAAUAGCUGUCAGACAACUGGAUUCUGUACCGAGCAUACCUCUUGUUGUUGGAUGCAUGCAGCACGAUUACCAGCUCAUCCUAGAAAGCCAGCAGUCAGAUGUUCAUUUCAGUGCCAAUAAAAUUUCUAUUAUUCUCUUAUCCUAUAAUAACAAAGUCAAUUAUUCUAUAUGAAUAUUUUGCCACCAUUAAGAUAAUUAUUCUGUUAUACCAUACAUACAUGGAAAUAUAUGUCACAAAAAGAUUAAU
rnacentral:lncRNA from 1 species